UGGGGAAUUUUGGACAAUGGGGGCAACCCUGAUCCAGCCAUUCCGCGUGCGGGAAGAAGGCCUUCGGGUUGUAAACCGCUUUUGUACGGAGCGAAACGGGCGAGGCUAAUACCCUUGCUUACUGACGGUACCGUAAGAAUAAGCACCGGCUAACUACGUGCCAGCAGCCGCGGUAAUACGUAGGGUGCGAGCGUUAAUCGGAAUUACUGGGCGUAAAGCGUGCGCAGGCGGUUUUGUAAGCCAGAUGUGAAAGCCCCGGGCUUAACCUGGGAAUGGCAUUUGGGACUGCAAGGCUAGAGUACGGCAGAGGGGGGUGGAAUUCCACGUGUAGCAGUGAAAUGCGUAGAGAUGUGGAGGAACACCGAUGGCGAAGGCAGCCCCCUGGGCCUGUACUGACGCU
rnacentral:rRNA from 1 species